rnacentral:rRNA from 1 species
UGGCUCAUUAUAUAAGUUAUCGUUUAUUUGAUAGUACCUUACUACUUGGAUAACCGUGGUAAUUCUAGAGCUAAUACAUGCUAAAAAUCCCGACUUCGGAAGGGAUGUAUUUAUUAGAUUAAAAACCAAUGCCCUCUGGGCUCCUUGGUGAUUCAUAAUAACUUUUCGAAUCGCAUGGCCUUGCGCCGGCGAUGGUUCAUUCAAAUUUCUUCCCUAUCAACUUUCGAUGUUUGGGUAUUGGCCAAACAUGGUCGCAACGGGUAACGGAGGGUUAGGGCUCGACCCCGGAGAAGGAGCCUGAGAAACGGCUACUACAUCCAAGGAAGGCAGCAGGCGCGCAAAUUACCCAAUCCCGAUUCGGGGAGGUAGUGACAAUAAAUACUGAUACAGGGCUCUUUUGGGUCUUGUAAUUGGAAUGAGUACAAUUUAAAUCCCUUAACGAGGAACAAUUGGAGGGCAAGUCUGGUGCCAGCAGCCGCGGUAAUUCCAGCUCCAAUAGCGUAUAUUAAAGUUGUUGUGGUUAAAAAGCUCGUAGUUGAACCUUGGGCCUGGCUGGCCGGUCCGCCUCACCGCGUGUACUGGUCCGGCCGGGCCUUUCCCUCUGUGGAACCUCAUGCCCUUCACUGGGUGUGGCGGGGAAACAGGACUUUUACUUUGAAAAAAUUAGAGUGCUCCAGGCAGGCCUAUGCUCGAAUACAUUAGCAUGGAAUAAUGAAAUAGGACGUGUGGUUCUAUUUUGUUGGUUUCUAGGACCGCCGUAAUGAUUAAUAGGGACAGUCGGGGGCAUCAGUAUUCAAUUGUCAGAGGUGAAAUUCUUGGAUUUAUUGAAGACUAACUACUGCGAAAGCAUUUGCCAAGGAUGUUUUCAUUAAUCAGNAACGAAAGUUAGGGGAUCGAAGACGAUCAGAUACCGUCGUAGUCUUAACCAUAAACUAUGCCGACUAGGGAUCGGACGAUGUUAUUUUUUNGACGCGUUCGGCACCUUACGAGAAAUCAAAGUGCUUGG